rnacentral:rRNA from 2 species
GGAUUCCCCUAGUAACUGCGAGUGAAGCGGGAAAAGCUCAAAUUUAAAAUCUAAUGGUCCUUGGCCAUUCGAGUUGUAAUUUAGAGAAGCGUCUUCCGCGCCAGACCAUGUACAAGUCUCCUGGAACGGAGCGUCAUAGAGGGUGAGAAUCCCGUCUUUGACAUGGACCCUUGGUGCUUCUGUGAUGCGCUCUCAAAGAGUCGAGUUGUUUGGGAAUGCAGCUCAAAAUGGGUGGUGAACUCCAUCUAAGGCUAAAUAUUGGCGAGAGACCGAUAGCGAACAAGUACCGUGAGGGAAAGAUGAAAAGCACUUUGGAAAGAGAGUGAAACAGUACGUGAAAUUGUUGAAAGGGAAACACUUGAAGUCAGUCGCGUCGAUCGAGACUCAGCCCUUGCCCUUGGCUUGGCGUACUUCUCGACUUGACGGGCCAGCAUCAAUUUCGUCCCUCGGAUAAUGGCAGGGGAAAGGUGGCACCUUCACCGGUGUGUUAUAGUCUCUUGUCGCAUGCGAGGGGUGGGAUUGAGGAACUCAGCACGCGCCUCACGGUGUCGGGGCUUCGGCCCACGUUACGUGCUCAGGAUGCCGGCGUAAUGGCUUUAAAUGACCCGUCUUGAAACACGGACCAAGGAGUCUAACAUGCCUGCGAGUGUUCGGGUGGAAAACCCGUGUGCGUAAUGAAAGUAAAAGUUGGGACCUCUGUCGUGGAGGGCACCGACGCCCGGACCAGACCUUCUGUGACGGAUCUGCGGUAGAGCAUGCAUGUUGGGACCCGAAAGAUGGUGAACUAUGCCUGAAUAGGGUGAAGCCAGAGGAAACUCUGGUGGAGGCUCGUAGCGAUUCUGACGUGCAAAUCGAUCGUCAAAUUUGGGUAUAGGGGCGAAAGACUAAU